rnacentral:rRNA from 1 species
CAGCAGCCGCGGUAAUACAGGGGGGGCAAGCGUUGUUCGGAAUUACUGGGCGUAAAGGGCCAGUAGGCGGCCAACUAAGUCCGACGUGAAAUCCCCAGGCUUAACCUGGGAACUGCGUCGGAUACUGGAUGGCUUGAAUUCGGGAGAGGGAUGCAGAAUUCCAGGUGUAGCGGUGAAAUGCGUAGAUAUCUGGAGGAACACCGGUGGCGAAGGCGGCAUCCUGGACCGGUAUUGGCACUGAAAAGCGAAAGCCAGGGGAGCAAACGGGAUUAGAUACCCCGGUAGUCCUGGCCCUAAACGAUGAAUGUUUGGUGUGGCGGGUAUCGAUCCCUGCCGUGCCGAAGCUAACGCAUUAAUCAUCCCGCCUGGGGAGUACGGUCGCAAGAUUAAAACUCAAAGGAAUUGACGG